ensembl:lncRNA
CUAGCUGCUAAAUGGACCAGGUAGCUGAAGAUUUUAUUGGGUUUAUCUGAGUUUUUCUUUGUUUUAUUUAAAAAAAAAAAAAAAACUUCCUCCUGUGGCUAAAAUCAGUCAGUCUGAUUAGAGCAGAAAAAUUUAAUCCAAUCAGUGAAUUUAUGAUCUGUAAAACCCCAAAAAUCAAGUUAAAAGACACUAAAACCUUCCGUAGAGCUAAUUCUAUUGAUUAAUUUGAUUGGUUUUUGAUAUUUAAACAUCAAUCAGAGCAGCUUUAAAUUUAUUUUAAAAAUCUGUUUACUAAAUAUGUACUAGACAGAACAUUUUGCAGGUUAAUAAAACCCGUCAGCGUCUCUAGGGAUGUUUUUUUUUUUUUUUUUUUAUAAAUUACCUCAAACAUCUACAAACUUUUCUGCAUUAAAACGCUAAUAUCAGCAAAAAAAAAAACCCGACAUGCAGAUACAGAUUCAUGUCUGCAACAGUUUUAAACACUUUAUAUGAUUCAGAAAAACGUUUAUUUAUAGUAUGCAUUCGCAAAAAAAGCUAAAAUUUACCACUGAGUUUUUAUAUACUGUUAAAGUACCGGACUGUUUUCAGUCUGGGAUCAUGUGAGGAAACUUAAUACGCUUUAAAAAAAUGAAAUCCACAGACCUGGUUCCUUCAAAAAUGGGAACUGCUGCUGUUUGGUUGCACAAAAUAUUGUUUUUAUUCAUUUAUUAUUGUCUUUUCUGCACUUUUUAUGAAUUUAGUUGAUAAUUUCUUUAAAUUUUUUGCAUUUAUUUCCAAAAACAAACUCGUUUCACAACAUUUUUUCUUAUAUGUGGCUAAAAAAAUCCAGAGUUCUGUCCAUCUAUAUUCAUAUUUUGUAUGUUUCCAUCCAUAAUAUCAGUCAUAACAUCCUCUUUCCUGUGCUAAAGAGCAAAAACUCUUCUUAAACACAAACUUCAUGUCACUUAAACUGACCAAUCCACUUUCUUCUUAAACAAACUCAUUAAUAAUCACUACCAGCUCUAAUAACUUGUUUAUUUCAACAUGCUGCUAAAUUUAGCUGUUGUUGUCUUUAAAGAAAUGGCUAAAACUUCAUUUGUACAACUUUAUACUUCAAACUUCAUGUGUACUACUGCAUUUUACUGUUCAUGAAGGUUCAUCUGACUCUGUUCUCCUUGUUUAAAUAUCAGCACCGUCCUCAGUAGGAUCAGUAAAGGGUCAUAGCAGAGAAACAAGGGAAGCAGUAAAAAAAAUGUCGCUAGUGGCUCUAAGUUGUUCAGCUCGUUAUUAUAGAAAAUAAAAAUGAGAAAAUUGACUGUUCUCAACGUUGUGUUCAGUCUGUGUUUUAGAGUCCUCUGUAGGUGUUAACGAGGCAUCAGCAGCUCCAGUUGUUAGCCAACUCCAGCUGUUAACUAGCCCCAGCUGUUAGCCGGCUCCAAGUGUUAGCCGGUUCCAGGUAUUAGCCGGCUACAGGUGUUAGCCGGCUCUGUUUUGUUAGCCAGCUACAGCUGUUAGCCAGCUCCAGCUGUUAGCCGGCUGCAGGUGUUUGCCUGCUCCAGGUGUUAGCCAGCUCCAGGUGUUAGCCAGCUCCAGCUGUUAGCCGGCUGCAGAUGUUUGCCUGCUCCAGGUGUCAGUUGACUCCAGGUGCUAGACAGCUGCAGAUGUUAGCCGGCGCCACGUGUUAGUCGGUCCCAGAUUUUAGCCAGCUACAGAUGUUAGAUGAGCCCCAGGUGUUAGCCGGCUCCAGGUGUUAGCCAGCUCCAAGCGAUAGCCAGCUCCAAGCGUUAGCCAGCACCCAGUUUUAGCCGGCUUCAGGUGAUAACCAGCUCCAAGUCUUAGUUGGUUCCAGAUGUUAUCCAGCUCUAGAUAUUUGCUAGCUACAGAUGUUAGCUGACUCCCGGUGUCAGUUAACACCGAGUGUUAGCCAGCUCCAGAUGUUAGCCUGUUCCAGGUGUUAGCCUGCUCCAGGUGUUAGCUGACUCCAGAUGUUAGCCUGCUCCAGAUGUUAGCCAGCUCCAGGUGUUAGCUGACUCCAGAUGUUAGCCUGCUCCAGAUGUUAGCCAGCUCCAGGUGUUAGCUGACUCCAGAUGUUAGCCUGCUCCUGGUGUUAGCCUGCUCCAGAUGUUAGCCUGCUCCAGGUGUUAGCCUGCUCCAAGUGUUAGCUGACUCCAGGUGUUUCUGAAGGUCUCUGGUUGGUCGACAGCAUUAGCAAGCUGUCGUCUUCAGACUAGCGCCGUCUGAGAUCGUCUCAUCUCCUUCCUCAGUUCGUCGUGACUGA